CUCAGUCUUCUCCCGGGCUCGUGCCGCGGCGCCGUGCAUUAUAUUUUUUGAUGAACUGGAUUCGUUGGCUCCUAAUCGUGGAAGGAGCGGAGAUUCGGGAGGCGUCAUGGACCGGGUGGUGUCCCAGCUGCUGACGGAGAUGGAUGGAUUGCACUCCACAAAUGAUGUCUUUGUGAUCGGAGCCACCAAUCGCCCGGACCUGCUGGACUCGGCUCUGCUGCGACCCGGGAGGUUGGACAAGUUGGUGUAUGUCGGGAUUAAUGAUGAUCGAGACUCCCAGUUGCGGGUCCUGGAGGCCAUAACACGCAAGU